UCCAGGUGAAGCUACAGGAGUUUCAUUAACGUCAAUAACUUGGACCGAACACUUUGUUUUGCUUGAUGAACACUGAAAGAAUUUUGAUCAAUCAUGCUUCCCUGCUGUGAUUGUUUAACUGGGAAAACAACUUUUUCCACAGGAAGGCAAGUCAAUUUAAGGAAUACAUGUUCAAAGUUUUCCUCUGUUAUGUAUAAUGAUGACCCCCAUCAAACAUAAUGUUAGCAAUCUUUACACCUUUUAAUUUAUUCUGAUUAUUUCUGUCUACAUGUGUGAAUUUGCCUUCAUUAGUUUCAGAAAAGAGCGAUGAUGUAUCGGUCACGGGGCGGCAGCACGAGACUCCGCAAACUAGGCUGUAAGCAAAGUAGACGAAGGCAUCAAGGUUGCGGCCUGCCAUCAUUGUUAUUUUGCUUAAGGGACUGAAUAUGUAUCAUGUAGAAAUAUUAGCAUUUCCCUUAUAUUUACCAAAACUGCUGUUAAACAGACUGCACUUUUGUUUUGGUCCGAUGUGGUGUGCAAAUACAACCGUAUCGGCAAUGGGUUGUGGGGCAUUAACAUUUGUAACUCUAAUUUUGUUUUGACAGACUGUGAAAUGAACGUUGAGAACAUCACCAUUCUACAGGAAGACACAGUCCAGUAAUGGGUGUCAGAAGUUCAGUAGUGAACGACAGGAAGGACUGAUGCAUGUACUGAGACGGGACGUGAGGGCCUACUCUGCGUGCUCAGAGUUCAAGCCCAGCAGGCUGCAGCGGGCCUGACAUAUUCCGGAACAGCAGCACAGUCUUUGGAUGACUCCUCUGAAGAUGAAAACAUGGCGAGUUAUUCUCAAGAGAAGCAGUACAGGUGUGCCUCAUCUCCAUGGUCCCUCCUGCAGCCUCCGCUCCUGAUGCUAACCUCAUGUCUCCAUCACACCAAGCAGCAGACCUGGAGUGACAGACCUUUCUCCAGAGCUGCCCCCUCCCUCUGAAACCCCCCUCUCCAAAACACUAUUUGUGGCAAGUCUUAUUUGCAUGAGAAUUGUUGAUCAUAACAUUUCCAGCAGAUGCCUUAAUGUAAUGUUUGUGAACA